UAUGUGAUCGUCUCUCGCAUAUCAAUAAGCGGAGGAAAAGAAACUAACAAGGAUUCCCCUAGUAACGGCGAGUGAAGCGGGAAGAGCUCAAAUUUGAAAUCUUAAAGGGUUUCCCUUUACGAAUUGUAGUUUAAAGAAGUGUUUUCUGUUGAGGUUUUGGUAAAAGUUCUUUGGAAUAGGACAUCAUAGAGGGUGAGAAUCCCGUAUUUGACCUUUACUUUCAACUUUGUGAUACACUUUCAAAGAGUCGGAUUGUUUGGGAAUGCAGUCCAAAAUGGGUGGUAAGUUUCAUCUAAAGCUAAAUAUUGGCGAGAGACCGAUAGCGAACAAGUACCGUGAGGGAAAGAUGAAAAGAACUUUGAAAAGAGAGUUAAACAGUACGUGAAAUUGUCAAAAGGGAAGCGUUUGACACCAGUGUUGUUUUUCUGAAAAUCAAUUAAAGAACUGUUUAUGCUAAGUUGUUUUAGACUUUAUCAGCUAACUGUUUAGUUUUGAGCUUUUUUUUAAUGCACUUUUCAGUUAACAAGUCAACAUCAAUUUCUUUUGCUGUAAAAAAGCUUGAGGAAGGUGGCUUGAGAUUCGUCUUAAGUGUUUAUAGCCUCUUGCCUAUGCAGUCGGAGAGAUUGAGGUCUGCAGCGUAGAUCCUUCGGGGCUAAAUGCAUUUGUGCUAAGUUAUAGCAUUUUAUAGACAACUUGUUGACUAUGAUUUGUCUUGUAGCUUACUCGCUUAUGUUAUUUUACCUACGCUUAGGAUGUUGAUAUGCAUGACUGAUAU
rnacentral:rRNA from 1 species